UGCCAGCCGCCGCGGUACUACGGAGGGUGCAAGCGUUAAUCGGAAUUACUGGGCGUAAAGCGCGCGUAGGUGGAUUGGUCAGUCAGAUGUGAAAGCCCCGGGCUUAACCUGGGAACUGCAUUCGAUACUGCCUAGCUAGAGUAUGGUAGAGGGAAGUGGAAUUCCGGGUGUAGCGGUGAAAUGCGUAGAUAUCCGGAGGAACACCAGUGGCGAAGGCGACUUCCUGGACCAAUACUGACGCUGAGGUGCGAAAGCGUGGGGAGCAAACAGGAUUAGAUA
rnacentral:rRNA from 1 species